AUUGAUGUGAUUAAAGGUUUUCUAGAUUGUAUGCUUGGCGAAUGUUGAGGGUGUCACGGAGCAUCAAAUCCCGAAGGCGCCAGAGAGCAUCUGCCAUGGUGGUAUGGGCCCCUUUACUUUUCAGCCAGUGAGAGGGGAGGCGGCUCUCCUGUUCUUUUGACAAAUGGACAUCGCGUCUUCGAGCUGAAAAUUCAAAUGCACGCAAAGAAAGAGAAGUAGGAAUUUUAAGAAAAUCCAACUGAGAGGCUCACCUGCUGUCCAUAUGGACUUCCACCUGGUGCUGGAGUCCCUACCAUAGGGGCCACUCCUUGGUUCAUCACACCUAUAAUUCAGAAUGCAACGGUACAGUUAGAGGCUCUGGGUUGAGAGGACUACUGAAAAACUACUGCUAAGAAAUGCCACUUAUAAUGCAAACCUAUGGAUCUCUGCCCUUGAGUUUUGUGGAUAGAAACCCUACGCACCCAAAACAGGAUGCAGCCAAUGGCUGAAGCCCAGGUUUCAUUCUGGCAAUAAUGGUACUGUGGUCGGCUCUGCAGCAGGCAGUGUGCGAGGACAGCAGGGACACAAAGGAAGAGGCUGUGCAAGGGCACAGUUCAAUGAGUUCUUGGAGGCUACAGGCGCAUCCCUGCUGCCCUCUCACAGGUACUAGGUGAUAAUGGUGAGAAGUCCUAAAUUUUGUGUCUGGGGCUAUUUCAAUCUCAGGACCGUCCACUCACUCAACAAAUGCUGAAAUAAGUAAGCAAGGGUCCUGGUUCAUUAAAAACUAACAAACUUCAGCCAAAACCCUGGACACUCACCCAUCUCAGAUCCCACAACACAGGGGGCCUCCCUGAGCUGCCUUUCUCAAAUCUGCAGGGCACAAACAACUCAGCAAUUUUGUUUCCUGUCUACAAAUGUCAUCCAAGAGGCUAGCCAGUGACAAUGUGGGCUGAGUCACCAGAGGAGAUCCCCAAGUCCUCCUCUCCUCAAAGCCUGAGCAGAAUGACUGACUGAAGGAUUUCUUUGUCAUCAUCAGUGACUCCAUAAUCCCUUUAGAAGGGCUGUCUGAGAAGCAGGAGAUGAAGCAGAGAUUCUAUACAGAAGACAAUUAAUUCUUCAAUAAGAAUUGAACCAGAGGAAGAAGUAUACUCAGGACUAAAAAUGCUUUUUAUAUGUGACUCAGAACUAGCAACUUGGUAAACUUCUUUCACUGAUAGAGGGCAUGACCUCUGGGCUGUAUUUGGCUUCCUAGUCCAUGUCAAAUUGUCUGAGUGGUGUGAGAGUGUGCCUUCUGCCCUGUGGCCUGCUGAGGCUGGUCUUUGGUUAUGUGUCCUGCGCUGUGGCUAGGCAGUUAAGUACCCGAGGGACAGGCCCUGUUCCUGACAGCCCUGGAAUUCUCAGUGAGGAAAGGCCUGGCCACAGUGGGCAGCAGGUACCUCCUGGAACAACUGGCUGAGGGAAGAAAAAAGAGGAUAUGAAGAUGAGAUUAAUGAGUGAAUGAGGAGGAAGUUCUUACCCGGUGGUGGGAUGCCCGGGAGGCCGGGCACACCUGGCGGAAGAUGGUGGGGUGGAGGCCCCCCAGGGUGAAGUGGCUGCAUGCUGCCCAUGCUAACAAGGCCAUCAACUGGGCCCUGCAAAGGUGGAAGGCCUGGCGGAUAGCCACCCAUCAUGCCUUGAAGGACACAACAAAUUUCAGACAUGCAUCAUUAACAUGCAACAUGAGCUAAGUAAUAGACAAAUCCCCCCACAUGCACUACCAAUGAAUAAAGCGCCCUUAGUACUGCAUGAUAUAACUGGCAAUUAGUGCAAUUAUUUUGUUGCAAUAAUGAACAAAAUAAAGUUACAAAAUAUGAAAUCCAACAUCUGUGGAUGAAUUAGUACUUAGUAUAUUAUUUGUAGUUAUUUUCCCUGGGAUAAAUAUGCUGCAUGUUUUUAGUUAAAUAAUAAUAAAGAGGAGUUCCAGUAACAG